ensembl:lncRNA
GUGCUAGCUGUGGCUCUCAGGUUUACAAUCCAGACAGUAAAAUCUGCUGUGCCGGGAAGCUGUCCAAUAGGGUGCUUGGAAAAAACCUGUGCUGUGGUACAACUCCGUAUGGUGUAGAGGACCGAGGGGUGCUGUGCUGUAACCAGACCUUGCACCAUGUGGUGGAGGAUGGGUACCAGUGCUCCCCAGGUGGCCACUUGUAUCUGCCAUCCCGUGACAUGGUGUGUGGCUCACGAGUUCAUCUGAACGAUCCAGGCAAACACUGCUGUGGGGAGGAGACAUAUUACCCUCAGAAUGAAAUCUGCUGCAACGGACACAAACACAGCAGGUGGGGGAACAAGUCCUGCUGCGGAGUCAAGGCUUAUGACCCCAGCUGUGACCAGAUGAAGUGCUGUGCAGGGACUCUGUACGACCUGCAGUUUCAGGACAGACUCUCAGAGGAGGCCCAGUGCUGUGGGAGUGUCCUGAUGGAGGCCGGUUCCACCCAGACCUGCUGCUCUGCCCCAGGGCUAGACCUGCUCUAUCCUACCCAGCAAGGGUUCACCUGCUGUGGGCACCGCUACCCCAACUCAUCCCUGUGGUCCUGCUGCGCGGGGGUCCUGCACCCAAGGCCUGAACCACACACCACCAGCAAGAACAUGAUUCCAGGACCCAGGCUUCUACCACUGGGGGAUCUGAAGACUGAAGUCCUGUGUCACAGCAG